UAUCAUCAACUCAUUAGUCUUUGAUUAGGCUUUUGGGCUUGGACUUGGGAAUUGCUGGCUUGAUCUUUACUCAUUGAAAAGUAUCUAAUACUUAAUAGAGGGUAGAGUGUAGUCGGCUGUCCUUAAAUGCAUUAGCGAGUGUUAGUCUACAUGGCACGGCCUCUUGACGUGAUAAUGAUCGUCGUGGGCUGGAAGUGUAGUGUCUGGCUUCUAAUCAUUGAUUGCGUGCAUACGGCCCAUAAAGCUGGAAGCGCAACAAACCACGACUUACGUGCAAGCGUAGUUCGAAAUUGAC
rnacentral:misc_RNA from 1 species